UACGUAGGUGGCAAGCGAUACUCGGAAUCACUAGGCGUAAAGCGCAGGUAGGAGGUUUGGAAAGUCUCUUGUGAAAGCUCCCGGCUCAACUGGGAGAGGCCAAGGGAAACUACCAGGCUAGAGUGCGGUAGAGGUAGCUGGAAUUCCCGGUGUAGCGGUGAAAUGCGUAGAUAUCGGGAGGAAUACCUAUGGCGAAAGCAGGCUACUGGACCGUCACUGACUCUGAUCUGCGAAAGCUAGGGGAGCAAACAGG
rnacentral:rRNA from 1 species